UAACAUGAGAGUUUGAUCCUGGCUCAGGACGAACGCUGGCGGCGUGCCUAAUACAUGCAAGUCGUACGAACCGAAGGGGAGCUUGCUCCCUGGACGUUAGUGGCGAACGGGUGAGUAACACGUGGGUAACCUGCCCUUAAGCGGGGGAUAACAUCCGGAAACGGGUGCUAAUACCGCAUAGUUUCCCUCUCCACAUGGAGGGGGAAGGAAAGACGGCCUUUGUGCUGUCGCUUAGGGAUGGACCCGCGGCGUAUUAGUUAGUUGGUAGGGUAACGGCCUACCAAGGCGAUGAUACGUAGCCGACCUGAGAGGGUGAUCGGCCACAUUGGGACUGAGACACGGCCCAAACUCCUACG
rnacentral:rRNA from 1 species